UACGGAGGGGGCAAGCGUUGUUCGGAAUUACUGGGCGUAAAGGGUCUGUAGGUGGCCAACUAAGUCAGACGUGAAAUCCCUCAGCUUAACUGGGGAACUGCGUCUGAUACUGGAUGGCUUGAGUGCAGGAGAGGAACGCGGAAUUCCAGGUGUAGCGGUGAAAUGCGUAGAUAUCUGGAGGAACACCGGUGGCGAAGGCGGCGUUCUGGACUGCAACUGACACUGAGAGACGAAAGCCAGGGGAGCAAACGGG
rnacentral:rRNA from 1 species